CAAUGGAAGUAUGAGGCGAUA
rnacentral:misc_RNA from 1 species